rnacentral:rRNA from 2 species
UACGAAGGGGGCUAGCGUUGUUCGGAAUUACUGGGCGUAAAGCGCGCGCAGGCGGUUUUCCAAGUCAGUGGUGAAAGCCCGGAGCUCAACUCCGGAACUGCCAUUGAAACUGGCGAACUUGAGUACGAGAGAGGUGAGUGGAAUUCCCAGUGUAGAGGUGAAAUUCGUAGAUAUUGGGAAGAACACCGGUGGCGAAGGCGGCUCACUGGCUCGUAACUGACGCUCAGGCGCGACAGCGUGGGGAUCAAACAGG